UGGUGUCGUGUGACCCUCAGUCAGGUU
rnacentral:piRNA from 1 species